rnacentral:rRNA from 1 species
UACCGGCGGCUCGAGUGGUGGCCACUAUUAUUGGGCUUAAAGCGUUCGUAGCUGGGUUGUUAAGUUUCUUGGGAAAUCUACCGGCUUAACCGAUAGGCGUCCAAGGGAUACUGGCAAUCUAGGGACCGGGAGAGGUGAGGGGUACUUCAGGGGUAGGAGUGAAAUCCUGUAAUCCUUGGGGGACACCUGUGGCGAAGGCGCCUCAUUAGAACGGUCCGACAGUGAGGGACGAAAGCUGGGGGAGCAAACCGGAUUAGAUACCCGGGUAGUCCCAGCCGUAAACGAUGCGCGUUAGGUGUAUCGAUGACCACGAGUCAUCGAGGUGCCGAAGGGAAACGUGAAACGCGCCGCCUGGGAAGUACGGUCGCAAGGCUGAAACUUAAAGGAAUUGGCGGGGGAGCACCACAACAGGUGGAGCCUGCGGUUUAAUCGGACUCAACGCCGGAAAUCUCACCGGAUAAGACAGCUGAAUGAUAGCCGGGCUGAAGACUCUGCUUGACUAGCUGAGAGGAGGUGCAUGGCCGUCGUCAGUUCGUACUGUGAAGCAUCCUGUUAAGUCAGGCAACGAGCGAGACCCACGCCAACAGUUGCCAGCAUGUCCUCCGGGAUGGUGGGGACACUGUUGGGACCGCCUCUGCUAAAGAGGAGGAAGGAAUGGGCAACGGUAGGUCAGCAUGCCCCGAAUUAUCCGGGCUACACGCGGGCUACAAUGGGCAGGACAAUGGGUUUCGACACCGAAAGGUGAAGGCAAUCUCUUAAACCUGCUCGUAGUUCGGAUUGCGGGUUGCAACUCGCCCGCAUGAAGCUGGAAUCUGUAGUAAUCGCGUCUCAAAAUGGCGCGGUGAAUAUGUCCCUGCUCCUUGCACACACCGCCCGUCAAACCACCCGAGUGGGGUCUUGAUGAGGCUGCGGUUUAUGCCGUGGUCGAAUCUAGGUUCCGCAAGGGGGGUU